CCUACGGGAGGGCAGCAGUAGGGAACAUUGCUCAAUGGGGGAAACCCUGAAGCAGCAACGCCGCGUGGAGGAUGAAGGUUUUAGGAUUGUAAACUCCUUUUGGGAGAGAAGAUAAUGACGGUAUCUAACGAAUAAUCACCGGCUAACUCCGUGCCAGCAGCCGCGGUAAUACGGAGGGUGCAAGCGUUACUCGGAAUCACUGGGUGUAAAGAGUGCGCAGGCGGGCUUGUAAGUCAGCUGUGAAAUCCUGUAGCUUAACUACAGAACUGCAUUUGAAACUAUGAGUCUAGAGUGUGGGAGGGGUAGCUGGAAUUCAUGGUGUAGGGGUAAAAUCCGUAGAUAUCAAGAGGAAUACUGAUCGCGAAGGCGAGCUACUGGAACAUUACUGACGCUCAUGCACGAAAGUGUGGGUAGCAAACAGGAUUAGAUACCCUUGUAGUC
rnacentral:rRNA from 1 species